rnacentral:rRNA from 1 species
UGGGGAAUCUUCCGCAAUGGACGAAAGUCUGACGGAGCAACGCCGCGUGAGUGAAGAAGGUUUUCGGAUCGUAAAACUCUGUCUUUUGGGGCGAACGUGAGUAUGGUGAACAAUCAUAGUCAGUGACGGUACCAAAGGAGGAAGCCACGGCUAACUACGUGCCAGCAGCCGCGGUAAUACGUAGGUGGCAAGCGUUGUCCGGAAUUAUUGGGCGUAAAGAGCGCGUAGGCGGGAUAGUCAGUCUGUUGUAAAAGUGCGGGGCUCAACCCCGUGAUCGCAAUGGAAACAGCUAUUCUUGAGUGCAGGGAGAAGGAAGUGGAAUUCCCAGUGUAGCGGUGAAAUGCGUAGAUAUUGGGAGGAACACCAGUGGCGAAGGCGACUUUCUGGACUGUGUCUGACGCUGAGGCGCGAAAGCCAGGGGAGCGAACGGGAUUAGAUACCCCGGUAGUCCUGGCCGUAAAACGAUGGGUACUAGGUGUGGGAGGUAUCGACCCCUUCCGUGCCGGAGUUAACGCAAUAAGUACCCCGCCUGGGGAGUACGGUCGCAAGACUGAAACUCAAAGGAAUUGACGGGGUCAUAGCUGUUUCCUG